UACGUAGGGGGCAAGCGUUGUCCGGAAUCAUUGGGCGUAAAGAGCGUGUAGGCGGCCCGAUAAGUCCGCUGUGAAAGUCCAGGGCUCAACCCUGGAAUGCCGGUGGAUACUGUCGGGCUCGAAUCCGGAAGAGGUGAGUGGAAUUCCUGGUGUAGCGGUGAAAUGCGCAGAUAUCAGGAGGAACACCAAUGGCGAAGGCAGCUCACUGGGACGUUACUGACGCUGAGGAGCGAAAGCGUGGGGAGCGAACAGG
rnacentral:rRNA from 1 species